rnacentral:rRNA from 1 species
GUCGAACGAGAAAGUGGAGCAAUCCAUGAGUAAAGUGGCGCACGGGUGAGUAACACGUGACUAACCUACCCUUGAGUGGGGGAUAACUGAGGGAAACCUUAGCUAAUACCGCAUAAUACCCACGGGUCAAAGGAGCAAUUCGCUCGAGGAGGGGGUCGCGGCCGAUUAGUUAGUUGGCGGGGUAAUGGCCCACCAAGACGAUGAUCGGUAUCCGGCCUGAGAGGGCGCACGGACACACUGGAACUGAAACACGGUCCAGACUCCUACGGGAGGCAGCAGUGGGGAAUUUUGCGCAAUGGGGGAAACCCUGACGCAGCAACGCCGCGUGGAGGAUGAAGUCCUUCGGGACGUAAACUCCUUUCGAUCGGGACGAUUAUGACGGUACCGGAAGAAGAAGCCCCGGCUAACUUCGUGCCAGCAGCCGCGGUAAUACGAGGGGGGCGAGCGUUGUUCGGAAUUAUUGGGCGUAAAGGGUGCGUAGGCGGUUUGGUAAGUCUUGUGUGAAAUCUAUGGGCUCAACUCAUAGUCUGCACGAGAAACUGCCGGGCUUGAGUGUGGGAGAGGUGAGUGGAAUUUCCGGUGUAGCGGUGAAAUGCGUAGAUAUCGGAAGGAACACCUGUGGCGAAAGCGGCUCACUGGACCACAACUGACGCUGAUGCACGAAAGCUAGGGGAGCAAACAGGAUUAGAUACCCUGGUAGUCCUAGCCCUAAACGAUGACUGCUUGGUGUGAC